rnacentral:rRNA from 1 species
CGGACGGGUGAGUAACGCGUGGGUAACCUGCCUCAUACAGGGGGAUAACAGUUAGAAAUGACUGCUAAUACCGCAUAAGACCACAGCACCGCAUGGUGCAGGGGCAAAAACUCCGGUGGUAUGAGAUGGACCCGCGUCUGAUUAGGUAGUUGGUGGGUAACGGCCUACCAAGCCGACGAUCAGUAGCCGACCUGAGAGGGUGACCGGCCACAUUGGGACUGAGACACGGCCCAA